rnacentral:rRNA from 1 species
UCAAAGAUUAAGCCAUGCAAGUGAAAGUAUAUGCAUAUUUUAUAUGUAGAAACUGCGAACGGCUCAUUAAAACAGUUAUAAUCUACUUGACAUUUUUUCUAUAAGGAUAACUACGGAAAAGCUGUAGCUAAUACUUGCUUUACCACUCGUGAUUAAGUUCUUGAGUGUGUACUUGUUAAGCCUUUUAAGAAAAAAGCUAUUAACUUAAGGAAUUAUAACAAAGAAGCAACACGUAAAUGGAUUUUCCAUUUUUUAGUGUGUAUCAAUCGAGUUUCUGACCUAUCAGCUUUUGAUGUUAGGGUAUUGGCCUAACAUGGCUAUGACGGGUAACGGGGAAUUAGGGUUCGAUUCCAGAGAGGGAGCCUGAGAAAUAGCUACCACAUCUAAGGAAGGCAGCAGGCGCGUAAAUUACCCAAUUCUAAAGAAGAGAGGUAGUGACAAGAAAUAACAAUACAAGGCCAAUCUGGCUUUGUAAUUGGAAUGAUGGGAAUUUAAAACCUUCCCAAAACUCAAUUGGAGGGCAAGUCUGGUGCCAGCAGCCGCGGUAAUUCCAGCUCCAAUAGCGUAUAUUAAAAUUGUUGCAGUUAAAACGCUCGUAGUUGAAUUUCAAAGAAUCGAUAUUUUAAGUAGCACUUUGUAGAUUAAUCCACAUAACUGAUACUACGUAUCGACUUUGUGAGCAUUUUUCUACUUAUGUGUUCUUUUAAUUAAAAUGAUUCUUUUUAAGAUCUUUCUUUUUUGCUUCGGCAUUUUAGGAGAUCUUGUUACUUUGAGUAAAUUAGAGUGUUCAAAGCAAACAGAUUAUAGCAUCUUUAUGCGUUUGAAUACUAUAGCAUGGAAUAACAAAAUUGAACAAGUCAGAAUUUUGUUCUUUUUUCUUAUUUUGGCUUAGUUACGAUUAAUAGGAGUAGCUUGGGGGCAUUUGUAUUCAGAUGUCAGAGGUGAAAUUCUUAGAUUUUCUGGAGACAAACAACUGCGAAAGCAUUUGCCUAAAAUAUUUCCAUUAAUCAAGAACGAAAGUUAAGGGAGUGAAGACGAUCAGAUACCGUCGUAAUCUUAACCAUAAACUAUGCCGACUAGGCUUUGGAUGAAAGAUUUUAAAAUAAGAGUUUUUUCUCUGAGGAGUUAAAACUCUUAGAUUGCUUCCUUCAGUGCCUUAUGAGAAAUCAAAGUCUUUGGGUUCUGGGGCGAGUAUUCGCGCAAGCGAGAAAGUUAAAAGAAUUGACGGAAGGGCACCACCAGGCGUGGAGCUUGCGGCUUAAUUUGACUCAACACGGGAAAACUCACUAGUUUAAGACAAGAGUAGGAUUGACAGAUUAAUAGCUCUUUCUUGAUUUCUUGGAUGGUGAUGCAUGGCCGUUUUUAGUUCGUGAAUAUGAUUUGUCUGGUUAAUUCCGAUAACGAACGAGAUCUUAACCUGCUAAUUAGCGGCAAAUACGAUAUAUUCUUAUGUGGAAUUGAAUAUAGUUGAUUUGUUUAUUUUGAAGAAAAUAUUGGGAUACGUAAAUGUAUCCCUUUCCCUUUUCUACUUAAUUUGCUUAUCAUACUAUUUCUUUUUUGCGUAAGAAUGUAUUUGCUUGAUUGUAAAGCUUCUUAGAGGAACGAUGUGUGUCUAACACAAGGGAGUUUAAGGCAACAACAGG